ACGUGCCAUUGAAUGGCGAUUCUUCGGCUUCUCCGUUAAUCCUAGAUAUUGAUAUAUAUUAUCCGUUUGCUUCAUAUGUGACUCAUUGUUUUUAUACUCUCUCUGCACUAUACCUUGCCAAAUUCUAGCUCACUGUAAUGGCGACUUCCUAAGUGAACCCUUCUAAUCUGAAGAUUGGCCGUUGUAAGGAGAUUGUGGUGGGCCGUUUGCUUCCAUUCUGAGAAGCUCGGAAUCUGAAGAAAAGAGGCGAACUUAUUGGAGUUGACAUGUUGUUUGGACGAGAAGUCAACCUUGAUACAAGGUUCCAUCGUCCCCACACCGGCUUAACAGUUUCAAGAAUCUACAGAGGGAAGGAAGAGUGUACUAGCUCAGUUAUCCUUAUGUUGCUAGAAGCAACAUUCACUUCAAGCUGUGUGACCCACCGGUCUGUGUUUGAUUUACAGGGCAUACCAACUUUUUCGAGUUGAUGAACCAUAUUGAUUUCAUUCCAGAUGAGAAUUAUUCAAACGUACAGGAUCACACUCUUUGACAACAAAAACUGAGCCACGCAGGGAUUUUUAAAAGAGUUUUGUGGAGGUGGGGCUGGAUCCUCUUCAACUACAUCCAAGUAUGGUGGUGUUAAGACCAGGAGAUUGAUAGCUACUUUCUCAACUCAACCCCGACUGUACAUCCACUUAGCAAGUCCACUACUAAGACUCUAUCAAGCUGAGGCUGUGGAGUCCAUUUGCAAGGCUGAGGUGGCUGAUAUUGACAAGGAUGGUGCUAUAUCCCCUGUUAUAAGUGCUCGCACAAACUGCUUCAUUGAUUCACAUCUUACUAUAGUUUAUUUAAAGUAUAGACUUCAUACAUUGAGUUAGAAAUGGUGAUUA